ensembl:lncRNA
GCUUGUGGUGCGAGCUCUCAGUUCUCACGCUACGGGUACAUAUUUCAUUCAUGAAAUCAAUAGGCAAUAACCGAUGCCUGAUCUUUAUGGAACUCAUUCAGUGCAAGGGCACGUUUUAUGUGGUCUCACAAGGUAAAUGUAAAAUGGAUGGUGUUGAAAAAGCCAGCAAGUCCUUGGCCCAAGAGCUGGGGCUGCUGCACCGAGCCAGGUACUGGCCCUGUGUCUCUUCGGUGACACAAAGGUCUGGUCCCCACCAUCAUGGGUACUACUGCAGGGUGACAGCCUGAGUUACCACCUAGCAUUGGGGAACAUGAAGGAAGCUGGAAAUUACAACUGAGCAUGCAGAGAAGACGGUAGAAACCACGCUGAUCUCAUGGGAUCUUCAAGCCUAUAAUCUACAUGGGUUUAUGCCUGAACUUAGCUUUACGCUAGUUUCUUAUAUGGAGAUGAAGAAGAAUGACUUGGGAGUGCCUGUAGAGGGUGUAAUUUUACCCAUCCCUUGAAUAAUAUAUCAGAGAGCAGAGGUGAACCUCCUCUUCUAGCAGCAGCACUGUUUUAGGUGCCAUCAAUGACAUCCUUGUCAGCCAGAUAUGUGUACUGACUGCUACACUUCCUAAAAUGCUGUUGACUUUGCUGAUGGUUCAAAGUGUGGGGAAGUUUUAUAGGCUUCAGAUCUGGAUGCUUAUCAAAGCCUGCCUGCUCUCCUGCAGUACAAGAAGACCUGUACGUGAUCUUCUGCUCCUCCCGUGCCCUGCCACAUUAAACCAUUUAUGUAGAAAGUAAAUGGUCAGAUAUAUGAAUGCUGAAAGCUCUCUACUGUCAUCCUGCGAUGUGCCGCAGCACCCAGAGGGAGGAGUGAGCCUGGAGACCACCUCUUUCACAGCAGUGAGCUCCUGGUGCCACAGCGAUGGCUGUAUGUACAAAAGCUGUUGGUAUGGUGCUGUCUCUGACCAGAACAGCAAGCCAUGCCCAGCUGGGGGAGAGAAGCACAUCUUUGAACCAACCUUCUCUUUCUUUCUCCCAGCACUGACUUCCAUGGGCUGCAAAGAGAAGCAUUUCUCCCUCACUUCACCAGUGCUGUGUGAAAUGCCCUCUAAAUGCUAAUUUCAUUUCACUUCUACAACAGUAGAAAUAAAUACAGCACAAAUCUUCCUUCUCUGCAGUGCUUUUUUUCUUGACUGCUGUAUCUAAAUGUCCCUUCAAUCUAGUAUCUCUUAAUAGUUCAGUAAAGAAUUACUCAUGGGACUAUCCUUUUUUUUUUUUUUUUUUUGCCUUGAAGGCAGUCCCUAUUACUCCACAGUAUGGAAACCAACUGGGAAAGUAAUCUAUGCAAAUUACAUGUACUUUUCGGGUUGAAUCGCAUUCCCUUCGCUCAUGGUAAUGAGUCACUUGGCAUGAAGUGGACUUACAGUGAAUGGAGAGAGCAUAUAAGGGCGCUGCUUCUCAAGAAUUACUUCUACUUGCUGAAUCUCAUUUAGGCCUGGAACCAUGAGGGGUGAGGCUCUGCU